UUUUCGGACAACAGAUAGGAAUCCUUAGUGGCGGACGGGUGAGUAACGCGUGAGUAACCUGCCUUGGAGUGGGGAAUAACACAGUGAAAAUUGUGCUAAUACCGCAUAAUGCAGUUAUCCCGCAUGGGGUUGACUGCCAAAGAUUUAUCGCUCUGAGAUGGACUCGCGUCUGAUUAGCUAGUUGGCGGGGUAACGGCCCACCAAGGCGACGAUCAGUAGCCGGACUGAGAGGUUGGCCGGCCACAUUGGGACUGAGACACGGCCCAAACUCC
rnacentral:rRNA from 1 species